ACUCCUACGGGAGGCAGCAGUGGGGAAUUUUGCGCAAUGGGGGAAACCCUGACGCAGCAACGCCGCGUGAGUGAUGAAGGCCCUUGGGUCGUAGAGCUCUGACAGAGGGAAAGAAAUGUGGGUGGCUAAUAUCCAUACCACUUGACGGUACCCUCAAAGGAAGCACCGGCUAACUCCGUGCCAGCAGCCGCGGUAAUACGGAGGGUGCGAGCGUUGUUCGGAUUUAUUGGGCGUAAAGCGCGUGUAGGCGGUUUUAUAAGUCUGAUGUGAAAGCCCCGGGCUCAACCUGGGAAGUGCAUUGGAUACUGUAAGACUUGAAUACGGGAGAGGGCAGUGGAAUUCCUAGUGUAGGAGUGAAAUCCGUAGAUAUUAGGAGGAACACCGGUGGCGAAGGCGGCUGCCUGGACCGAUAUUGACGCUGAGACGCGAAAGCGUGGGUAGCAAACAGGAUUAGAUACCCUGGUAGUCCACGCUGUAAACGAUGAGAACUAGGUGUCGCGGGUA
rnacentral:rRNA from 1 species